rnacentral:rRNA from 1 species
CGAGUGAAGCGGCAAUAGCUCAAAUUUGAAAUCUGGCACCUUCGGUGUCCGAGUUGUAAUUUGAAGAAGGUAUCUUUGGUUUUGGCUCUUGUCUAUGUUUCUUGGAACAGGACGUCACAGAGGGUGAGAAUCCCGUGCGAUAAGAUGCCCAAUUCCAUGUAAAGUUCCUUCGACGAGUCGAGUUGUUUGGGAAUGCAGCUCUAAGUGGGUGGUAAAUUCCAUCUAAAGCUAAAUAUUGGCGAGAGACCGAUAGCGAACAAGUACUGUGAAGGAAAGAUGAAAAGAACUUUGAAAAGAGAGUGAAAAAGUACGUGAAAUUGUUGAAAGGGAAGGGCUUGAGGUCAGACUUGGUUUACCAGGCCAGCAUCAGUUUGGAUGGCAGGAUAAUAGCUAAGAAAAGUGGCACAGCUUCGGUUGUGUGUUAUAGUCUUGGUUGAUACUGCCUGUCUAGACUGAGGACUGCGUCUUUGACUAGG